AAAGAGUACGUAGGCGGUGAUUCAAGUCAGAGGUGAAAGCCUGGAGCUCAACUCCAGAACUGCCUUUGAAACUAGAUCGCUAGAAUUGUGGAGAGGUUAGUGGAAUUCCGAGUGUAGAGGUGAAAUUCGUAGAUAUUCGGAAGAACACCAGUGGCGAAGGCGACUAACUGGACACAUAUUGACGCUGAGGUACGAAAGCGUGGGGAGCAAACAGGAUUAGAUACCCCGGU
rnacentral:rRNA from 1 species